CCACACAGCCCCGGGCCCCACCCACGCUGCACACACACCCACGCUCAACCCACGCACACACACGGAUCCCAUCUCUCUCAUCCUCCUCGAUCCCCUUUCUCCACCCCAUGCUGCCACCAGAUUCCGGUGAUCCCCGCCGUUCGCCACCGCUCAACUCUCCUCCCCGAGGUCACCUCUCCCCGAUCACCAUCUCCACCGACCGAUUUCUCUCCUCGCCCAGGAGAGCCAUGCCCAGGCACUGGUGGUGGUGCACCGCGAGGAGGCCCCAGAGGCGUCGAGCUGCUGCUGCUGCAGGCACAGCGACGUGCUGGGGAGGAGCUAUGUCGGGAUGCUGCUCCUACGCCGAGCUACUGCUGCUGUGGGCACGACAACGAGCCGGGGAGCAGCAGCUGCUGCGGGCGCGGCGUCUCUCCUUUCCCCAAAUCCCCAUCCGACGCAUCCCUCUCCAGCCUCAAGCCGCUGCCCUGAGCUCCCCUACAGGCCGGCGACACCACUCUGAUUAGGAGUCACGCAUGUGGCCGGCAUAGCAUUCUGGUCACCAACUACCCUCCAGGUGUGAGCUGUUUUGCUCGUGGACAAUCUCAUGUGUUGGAUCUGCAUUGGAUGGCAGAUAAGCGGAGUGGGAGCUCGCAUCAGCAGCUUUGACCCCUUCCCAAUGAGCUGCAGGUCGUAGACGAGGUCCCGGCCGAGGUAUCCCUCCUCUCAUUCCUUCCCAUUUCUACCACCUAAGGAGUGAUUAUAGUGUAUGCUGCACAGAAGUUUCCAAAGUUCAUGCUUAGCUGAUAUCUUUUGUUAACUGAAUAGUUUGUUGUGAUGAAUCACUAGGACAGUAUAGCAAGGCGGCUCUUAAAAAAGGUCCCUUCUUUGAUUAUAAAUCCUAAACAGAUCAUAAAUUAUGAGCAAAGAACCUUCCAUGAUCCCCAUCACAGAGUUUUGUUUUUGUUCCCUUGCAUUGAUAUGCAAAAUAUAUGCAUCGCUAACAAUUUUGUGUUAAGUUAAUUGUUUGUUGUGAUGAAUCAUAAGGACGAUAUCCGAGUAUGCUGGCUCUUGAAAAAGGCCUCCUUCCUUGAUUAUAGUAAUUCCUAAACUGGUCAUAUAGUCUAGGCAACCUGCACAAAUCUGAAUUUAUGUUUUGGAAAACCAUGUUUCCUGUUUAAAUUCUACUAGUCAUUGCUCUAUGCUUUAAUAUUGGGUAUUAGGACAUGAUCAUGCUCCUAUGUUUGUUCUAUUUGAUAAGACUUGAACAUGCUUAUUUUAGUUUAGAUAUCCAUCUAUGCUACCGUUCUGUCCAUUUGGAUGUUAUGCACUUACAAUUAUACAUUAUGUAAAUCUAUAUUUCAGUUGCAAUGUAUAGCUUGAUUCACACUUGUAGCAGCCAUGCAAGAUAAAAGAAAAUAAAUCUAGAUUCUUACCCUUUCCCUUGAUAUAUUCUCCUUGUUGAACAAACAAACAGUUUUCGAUGAACUGACAUUUCACCAUUCUGCUGGAGGGAUGCUUGUUGCCUAUAUUUAGAAUAAGCGUAAGUGCUUGUAUCUUGCUACUAUGGAAGUGGUGAUGUUUUUAAUGAAGUGAUGCAGGCUGCAGUGGCGUGCAACAUGUAUUCAUUGCAAUAUUUUCAUAUUUGUGGAGAUUGGUUAGUAUUUUGUGGUUGAUGGCUGUAGCUGGCUUUUCCUCCUAAAAUUUACUCCAUCCGUUCCUAAAUAUUUUUCUUUCUAGAGAUUUUAAAUGGUCACCACAUACGGAUAUAUAUAGACAUAUUUUAGAGUGUAGAUUCACUCAUUUUGUUCCGUAUGUAGUCACCAUUUGAAACCUCUAGAAAGAAAAAUAUUUAGGAACGGAGGGAGUACAUGUGGUGGGAACAGAGUACAUGUGCCAUAAAAUUCAAUUUUUCUCCUAACAACUUAUACUUAGCACUUUGAUCUUUGUAGAAAAAACCUUGCUGGGUCCAAAGUUGUCCAGAUGCAUGGUGAAUGAUGGCUGAGAUAUGGUGCGAAAUGGAAUAGAAAGAAAAUUCUUGUGCCUGCAGGGAGCGGAACUGAAUGUGAUCGGGGGGUCACAGUCAAGAGAGUGCUUCCUUGGCGUUCUACCAAAGGGAAAUGCCACUAUCAUGGAAGUAAAAGAGAUGGCCAUUUAAUUAGGCUAGGCUCACAAGUAGCUGAAUUUUUUUUGUGUGAAGAUGCAUCAGUGAUUUUUUUAGCAGUUUAUAAUGGUACUAGCCCCCUGUGCUUGUGGGUGCAGUACCCUAAUUGCAGAAAAAUACCAAGUGCAAGUGUGGUGCUGGUUCUCUCCUUUGGCUCUUUGGUAUUGGUCCUCUCCUUUGGCUCCUUGUAAUAUGUGUUGGAUAUGUGUUCAUGGAUAUGUGUUGGAUAUAUAUGUGUUCAUGACUAUUGGUAACAUGUGUUGGAUA